CCCUUAGAUGUCCUGGGCCGCACGCGCGUUACACUGAUGCAUUCAACGAGCUUAUAACCUUGGCCGAGAGGCCUGGGCAAUCUUGUUAACGUGCAUCGUGAUAGGGAUAGAUUAUUGAAAUUAUUAAUCUUGAACGAGGAAUUCCUAGUAAACGCAGAUCAUCAAUCCGCAUUGAUUACGUCCCUGCCCUUUGUACACACCGCCCGUCGCACCUACCGAUUGGAUGGUCCGGUGAAGCCUCGGGAUUGUGGUUCUUGCCGCUUUAUUGUGGCGUGACCGCGAGAACUUGUCUAAACCUUAUCAUCUAGAGGAAGGUGAAGUCGUAACA
rnacentral:rRNA from 1 species